rnacentral:lncRNA from 1 species
UCACCAAACUGCAGAUCCCAAGAUCCCAUAGGAUCCUGCCAUAGUAUGAAGAGUAGAAUCAUAGUGCUAUAAUUGCGUCCUGUGGAAAAGAGCCCCUGGAUUCAAUGUGUGUGCAGGCUCACUUGUCCCAGAAUCAACUUUCUACACCACAGCUGCGAAAAACUAGUCAAGUCCCUGUGAGCAUGUUCGAAAUGCUUUCUUUCAUCUCGACACAGAAAAGUCACAUCCUCCUCUGCGUAGCUUUGUCAGAGGUUCCAAAAAUCCUUUUAUUUUUAAAAAUAAAAAAGCACGGCGACAAUCAAGCACAUCAAAAGGUAGAAAACAGCUACCAGAUGUGCCUAUGGAAAGAUUUCAGCUCUGCCUUCUACUCUAAGCCCUGUAGACGUGUAUCUGAUUACAGCUUUGUGACCAGGGUAAAGCACCGCAAUGAUUGCAACCCGCACAAGUGGGACUGUGAGGACCAAAGUUCCAGAGUUAAGGAAGACACCAACCCUUCUACAGCUUUCCACCGAAAAAGAGAGGAGAUGCAGUGCCUUAGUUCAGAUGCAGCGAAAGGCCCAAAGGCUGCUCCUUCUGCGCGAAAUGGAAAUGAACUGGUAUCUUACAUCGUAUGAGCUAUCCCACGAAUACACUGUAGCUUAUGUGACUGGCAUGCCACACAGGUAAGUACUUUAAAUAAGCAAAAAUAUCAGAAACAGUGACUUUUGAAUCCACAAAUAAAUCAUCAUUGUUAUAUUCUGCAGACAUUCUUUAACAUUUUUGUAUGAAGAAUAUUUCAUUUUGCCUGGCAUCAUAUACAGCUAGUUAAUGAGUUUUGUAUUACUUAUUAGCUUUGUUGGUUAAUGUAACAUAAGGACGGUUAUUUUCUCGGUGUGAUUGGGAGUGCAGCUACUCGUCUACUGCAAUGAUAGAGGCUACAAUCCGAUGCAAAUUUACCUGAGAGUAAUUGCCACCGAACACAAGGAGAUCUAUUUCUGAUGGCUGUGUCAGUCAGAGGAUAUUCUAAUAUAUCAAGGGUACAAUAAAAAAUAUCGGCUUAUGGGAUUUGCUUCAUCUGUGACAUCAGGAACCAGAUGUUUUCCUUCUUGGUAGCUUUUAAAAUGGGAGGGCAACACAGCCAGUGUUUUCCAUAUGCUCCUCCAAAAGUCAAGGGGAAUUGUAGCCCUCCAGGCUUUCUGUACUACCAGUCCCACAACUAUCGUUGUGCUGACUGGGGAUUCUGGGAGUUGAAGUCCAAAACAUCUGGAAGACCAAGUGCUGCUGAAUUUCCUGCCCAUCAAAAUCUCCCCUUUCUCCCACAAUACAAGAGGUAGCUGCUUUAGCCACCUUGAGCCCCUAUAUCAAAAGAAAGAUGGGAUAGGCAAAGGUAAAAGUUUUUUCCCCUAACAUUAAGUCUAGUCGUGUCCGACUCCGGGUGCUCAUCUCCACUUCUAAGUCGAAGAGCCAGCAUUGUCUGUAGACACCUCCAAGGUCAUGUGGCCGGGAUGACUGCAUGGAGCACUGUUACCUUCCUGCCAGAGCGGUACCUAUUGAUCUACUCAUAUUUGCAUGUUUUUGAACUGGUAGGUUGGCAGAAGCUGGGGUUUACAGCAGGAGCUCACCACACUCCCUGGAUUCGAACGGCUGACCUUUCGGUCAGCAAGUUCAGCAGUUCAUUGGUUUAACCCACUGUGCCACUUUAUAUGUUAUGCAUCCCAUCCUUUUGGAUGCAUAACAUAUAAAGUAAAUAAAUAUAAGGAUACUAUUUUAAAAUAUGUUUUGUUUUUAAACUGAAUAGAAGGUCAAAGAACUGUACUACACAAAUGGUUUGGCUACCUUGACCUAUGACUUUGUAGCAGACAAAUCAGAUAAACAUUUGAACGAGUAAAAAUAGAGAUGGAGGGUCAAAUAUUUAAGACAUUAGUUUGUUAAAGCUGUAAUAGAGAGAAAUAUUGGUAAUGUUUGCAAAAAAA